rnacentral:rRNA from 1 species
UACAGAGGUCUCAAGCGUUGUUCGGAUUCAUUGGGCGUAAAGGGUGCGUAGGUGGCGCGGUAAGUCGGGUGUGAAAUUUCGGAGCUUAACUCCGAAACUGCAUUCGAUACUGCCGUGCUUGAGGACUGGAGAGGAGACUGGAAUUUACGGUGUAGCAGUGAAAUGCGUAGAGAUGUGGAGGAAUACCGAUGGCGAAGGCAGCCCCCUGGGCCAAUACUGACGCUCAUGCACGAAAGCGUGGGGAGCAAACAGG